UACAGAGGCCACGAGCGUUAGGCGGAAUCACUGGGCUUAAAGCGUGUGUAGGUGGAUGGGUAAGUACCUUGUGAAAUCCCACGGCUCAACCGUGGAACUGCUUGGUAUACUGCCUGUCUUGAGGCACUCAGGGGCGAGCGGAACAAAUGGUGGAGCGGUGAAAUGCGUAGAUAUCAUUGGAACGCCAAUGGUGAAGACAGCUCGCUGGGGGUGUCCUGACGCUGAGGCGCGAAAGCCAGGGGAGCGAACGGG
rnacentral:rRNA from 1 species